ensembl:lncRNA
ACCUAAAUGGUAAACGGACUGAAUCUUAUAUAGUGCUUUUCUACUCUCCCGGAGUACUCAAAGCACUCUAUACAACAUGCCACAUUUAUCCAGUCACACAAGCACUUUCUCUCACGCUUGUGAGCUGUCUAACUACACUCACACACAUUCAUACUCUGACGGAUGCAUCGGAGAGCAACUUGGGGUUAGUAUCUUGCCCAAGGAUACUUGACAUGCAGACUGGAGGAGCCAGGGACCGAACCACCAACCUUCCGAUCAGUAGUACCUCUUGGACCAUUACUCAUCUGUGCAGUGUGUCACCUACUGGUGCUCCACCAGUCACUCGCCAUUCUGGUUACCAGCUACACCUGCCUGCCCUCCUGCUUUCCCCUCUGGACUUGGAACUUCCUGGACUCUGGACACUCUGGAUCAUAGCCACACAGGCACUCAGCCUGAAACCGCCAGGUGUUUCCCCCCCACAUUUCCUCCGAACUGCUCACAAGUAAGGCAGACUCAUUACCACCUGUUCACUCAUCCUCCCCCCUGACACCUGUCUCCUCUGUUUCAGAACCUCAGAACCCAGCACCUUGUGUCUAGAUCACCUGCCUGUGCAGUACAAUAGUUACGUUUCAUAGUUGCCUGUCUUUGUGUGAUUGUAAAUAAAUAUAUUCUUUUGGGAAAGCCAC